rnacentral:rRNA from 1 species
GACGAACGCUGGCGGCGUGCUUAACACAUGCAAGUCGAACGGAAAGGCCCUGCUUUUGUGGGGUGCUCGAGUGGCGAACGGGUGAGUAACACGUGAGUAACCUGCCCUUGACUUUGGGAUAACUUCAGGAAACUGGGGCUAAUACCGGAUAGGAGCUCCUGCUGCAUGGUGGGGGUUGGAAAGUUUCGGCGGUUGGGGAUGGACUCGCGGCUUAUCAGCUUGUUGGUGGGGUAGUGGCUUACCAGGGCUUUGACGGGUAGCCGGCCUGGGAGGGUGACCGGCCACAUUGGGACUGAGAUACGGCCCAGACUCCUACGGGAGGCAGCAGUGGGGAAUAUUGCACAAUGGGCGGAAGCCUGAUGCAGCAACGCCGCGUGCGGGAUGACGGCCUUCGGGUUGUAAACCGCUUUCGCCUGUGACGAAGCGUGAGUGACGGUAAUGGGUAAAGAAGCACCGGCUAACUACGUG